rnacentral:lncRNA from 1 species
GGUAGUCCAAUGAGUUUGCCUUUGUGUGUCAUUGUAGGAUUUUGAUAUAAAUGGAACGCAAAUUUCAUAAUAAGCCAAAACAACUUUAGGUGUGCUAUAAGGUAUGCUAUCAAUUAACACUUGACCGAACCUGUCCCAUCUUUUGAGUCCCUUGAGUUUUCAAAGUGGUACUACAACAUUGUCGCCAACUAUUAUGCGUAUCAUGUGAUGGUUCAACUAUUUGCACUUGCAUCCCUCCACUAUAUCCAAUUACUUGCAACCGUCUACAUGAUGAAAAUCGGUAAAACUGUCUAGAACAAAACUGAUACAUUCAUUCAUUGGGGUUUAUGGUUUGUUUAGACUUCAGAAAAACCCCUUCUCCAACAAUACAUUUUGCUAAAAUAAUUUAUAGAACUGUCUAGGCAAGUCACAAGCUGGAUUGUGUUAUCUAAUAAAAAUUCAUAUUUACCCAAAUCAAUAUUUCUUCUUGGUUGGAUAGUGGAUUCUUUGUUGGACAUCUCGCCUUUUCUUUUAUAAAAGAUAUGUACUCCUAAUAGACUGCUAGAUAUAAAUUUUAUGUUGAUCUAUGCGGCCCGACCAGGAAACUGACAAUAGCCUAUAUUGAUUCACACGGAUCCCUCAAGUCAACAGAUACAUACAUUAUCACUUAAUGAAAACACAGAUUGUGCUGGCAGUGUGAUUUUAAUCAAAUUUAUCAGGUCCUCCUAUCAAUGGAUAUGUAAUGUCUAAAUGUUGAUAUGAAAUUUCUACUCAAGCAACUGAGAAAGGUUUUUACCAUCUUAUAGUCUUCAUAUGUAAUUGAUAGUCAUAUACAUGGGUCUCCUAUCAUCAUCCCUAGUUGUGACUUUUUGAAGGAACAGAUAGCUAGAAGUUUAGCUUUCACUCAAUUAUCUAAAAAAACCUAUUUUUUUAAAAAAUGCCUAUAUAAUUAUUAUGUAUUUAUCCACACCAGCCAUCUCAUUCUACUAUAAAUAACACCUGAAUAUGCACGAUAAAGAAAAAUGAUCUGAUUUAUGCCUUGCAAAGGUUAUCUCAUACGGCAAGGUGAGGAGGCUGAGACCACUAAGGAUCAAGGAAGAAGAGGCUAAGGCCAUCACAGAUCAAUAGAUGGGAGGGUCCCUAGUUUUCCACAAAUCAUCAGAGGGGAUAAUGUCAUCAAUGUCAAGUGGAGUAGAGAAGAAGGCAAGAGGUCAAGGCCAGCAAGAAGAGUAGCAAAGUGAAGUCUUUGAUGCUGUGAGGCAAGAGCAGUAAACCAGAGUAAGGGACUCGAUAUAAAGAUAGAAAAUGGAGUCUAGGGGUUUGGAUUUUAUCUUUUGUCUGGGUAUUUGUGACCUUGGCCAUGCAUAAAAAAUUGAUGGAUUCAUAGGAUAUCUUGUAUAAAUUUAACACAAUACAUAUAUACAUGUAUUCAUAUAUACACAUGUAGUGUGUGUAAUGUUAUUUAAUAGGUUUGGUCUCUAGGUCAGGCUUGGUUUGUGCAAACAGUUGCCCAACCAGCCUGGAAUCUAUUGGGUCCUAACUUUUAGGUCCAGCCUGACUUGAAAAUUCUGCAUCCACAGUCUUGCUUAUUCCCAUUUUUAUCUCUACACAGGCAUCUUAGAUGGCUUUCUUAGGGCAUUAUAUCCAACAUUUCAUUGGCCGUCAUAUCCUAGA